UACGAGGGGGGCAAGCGUUGUUCGGAAUUAUUGGGCGUAAAGGGCGCGUAGGCGGUGCGGAAAGUCUUCAGUGAAAUCUCUGGGCUCAACUCAGAGUUGGCUGGGGAAACUCCCGUGCUUGAGUGUGGGAGAGGUGAGUGGAAUUCCCGGUGUAGCGGUGAAGUGCGUAGAUAUCAGGAGGAACACCGGUGGCGAAGGCGGAUCUCUGGGCCUGUCCUGACGCUGAGGCGCGAAAGCUAGGGGAGCGAACGGG
rnacentral:rRNA from 1 species